CAAGGUACCUAGAAGGCUGGGUGUCGGGGAGCUGGUGGUGACGCCGCCUGGUGGAGCAGUGGGGGCCCAUCUCACCUGUUCCAACGCGCCACCUUUCUCAGAACUUAAAACAGUGGCUGACAUAUAACAUCUAAGUUUUGUUGACCCUUCUUAAGGUGAUGGAGCUUGAUGCUCUGAGAAGAAAGUAGGAAGUCUUGUCCUCCCAAGAAUGACAAAGUAACUAUCAGGACUUGAUCUGAUGCAUUUUCUAGAAUCGUUAGGAGUUUGUGGAGAGGAGCUCACUGCAUUGCUAGCCUUGAAUGAAGACAUUUACUUCUUGUAGGGAAAGGACCUAUAUAGUCAGUCUUACUGGGUGAGAAUGAGUCAGAAGACUGUAAAGGUCCCCAGUGCCUCAAGUCUGAAAUAAGUAG